UAACACGUAGGUAAUCUACCUUCGGAUGGGGAAUAACAACCGGAAACGGUUGCUAAUACCGCAUAAUGCAGCGGCACCUAAUGGUGACAGUUGUUAAAGCGGGGGAUCGAAAGACCUCGCGUCUGAAGAGGAGCCUGCGGCGGAUUAGCUAGUUGGUAAGGUAACGGCUUACCAAGGCGACGAUCCGUAGCCGGCCUGAGAGGGCGGUCGGCCACACUGACACUGACAUACGGGUCAGACUCCUACGGGAGGCAGCAGUCGGGAAUUUUGGGCAAUGGGCGAAAGCCUGACCCAGCAACGCCGCGUGAAGGAUGAAAUCCCUCGGGAUGUAAACUUCGCAAGAACGGGAAGAAUAAGUAGGGGACAAUACCCCCUAUGAUGACGGUACCGUUUGUAAGCUCCGGCUAACUCCGUGCCAGCAGCCGCGGUAAUACGGGGGGAGCAAGCGUUGUUCGGAUUUACUGGGCGUAAAGGGCGCGUAGGCGGCCAGCACAAGUCAGUUGUGAAAUCUCCGAGCUUAACUCGGAAAGGUCAACUGAUACUGUGCGGCUAGAGUGCGGAAGGGGCAACUGGAAUUCUUGGUGUAGCGGUGGAAUGCGUAGAUAUCAAGAGGAACACCUGCGGCGAAGGCGGGUUGCUGGGCCGACACUGACGCUGAGGC
rnacentral:rRNA from 1 species